rnacentral:rRNA from 1 species
AAUGAACGCUGGCGGCAUGCCUAACACAUGCAAGUCGAACGAGACCUUCGGGUCUAGUGGCGCACGGGUGCGUAACGCGUGGGAACCUGCCCUUAGGUUCGGAAUAACUCCCCGAAAGGGGUGCUAAUACCGGAUAAUGUCUUCGGACCAAAGAUUUAUCGCCUUUGGAUGGGCCCGCGUUGGAUUAGCUAGUUGGUAGGGUAAAAGCCUACCAAGGCGACGAUCCAUAGCUGGUCUGAGAGGAUGAUCAGCCACACUGGGACUGAGACACGGCCCAGACUCCUACGGGAGGCAGCAGUGGGGAAUAUUGGACAAUGGGCGAAAGCCUGCUCCAGCAAUGCCGCGUGAGUGAUGAAGGCCUUAGGGUUGUAAAGCUCUUUUACCCGGGAUGAUAAUGACAGUACCGGGAGAAUAAGCUCCGGCUAACUCCGUG